rnacentral:rRNA from 1 species
GGGAUUGCCUCAGUAACUGCGAGUGAAGCGGCAAAAGCUCAAAUUUGAAAUCUGACGUCUUUGACGUUCGAGUUGUAAUUUGGAGGGGCACUUUCGGUGCUGGUGCCGUCCUAAGUUCCUUGGAACAGGACGUCUUAGAGGGUGAGAAUCCCGUGCCAGGAUGGCCUACCAGUUCCAUGUGAGGUGUCUCCGACGAGUCGAGUUGUUUGGGAAUGCAGCUCAAAAUGGGUGGUAAAUUUCAUCUAAAGCUAAAUACCGGCGAGAGACCGAUAGCGCACAAGUAGAGUGAUCGAAAGAUGAAAAGCACUUUGAAAAGAGAGUUAAAAAGUACGUGAAAUUGUUGAAAGGGAAGCUCUUGAGACCAGACUCAACCCUUGGUGAUCAACCGUGCUUUUGUGCGGUGCACUUGCUGAGGGUUGGGCCAGCAUCGGUUUUGACGGUGGGAUAAAGGCUUGAGGAAUGUGGCUCACCGAUACCGGAGAGUGUUAUAGCCUCGGGUGCAAUGCUACCUGUCGGGACCGAGGACCGCGCUUUUGCUAGGAUGCUGGCGUAAUGGUCUUAAGCGGCCCGUCUUGAAACACGGACCAAGGAGUCUAACAUCUAUGCGAGUGUUCGGGUGGAAAACCCUUGCGCGAAAUGAAAGUGAACGGAGGUGGGAACCCCUUGGGGUGCACCAUCGACCGAUCCUGAUGUCUUCGGAAGGAUUUGAGUAGGAGCAUAGCCGUUGGGACCCGAAAGAUGGUGAACUAUGCCUGAAUAGGGUGAAGCCAGAGGAAACUCUGGUGGAGGCUCGCAGCGGUUCUGACGUGCAAAUCGAUCGUCAAAUUUGGGUAUAGGGG